UCCUCGGUAGCUCAAUUGGCAGAGCAGCGGGCCGUUAACCCGCGCGUUGGAGGUUCGAGUCCUCCCCGGGGAGCCA
rnacentral:tRNA from 1 species